UCUGGUUCACCAAAUGCUACUCCCUUCCAUUAUGCCAUUAAUCCAUUAUGAUAUCGUUCACAUAAAUGAGCUAAGGAAGCUUUAUGGAAAGGUUCGCUUCAAUCGAUACAAUCCAAGUGCAAGUCUCAGGAAGCAAAAUAUUGAUAUAGCACAUGUGAAUAUAGAUUUGUCUUUUUUGGGUAGCAUGUUGAUAUAAUACGAAAACGUGUAGAUACCAACAAAAUACAAAAUAAAGG
rnacentral:lncRNA from 1 species